AUUGAACGCUGGCGGCAGGCCUAACACAUGCAAGUCGAACGAGUGGCGGACGGGUGAGUAAUGUCUGGGAAACUGCCUGAUGGAGGGGGAUAACUACUGGAAACGGUAGCUAAUACCGCAUACCAUCGGAUGUGCCCAGAUGGGAUUAGCUAGUAGGUGGGGUAAAGGCUCACCUAGGCGACGAUCCCUAGCUGGUCUGAGAGGAUGACCAGCGAAAAUGGAACUGUGAAACGGUCCAGAUUCCUACGGGAGGCAGCAGUGGGGAAUAUUGCGCAAAGGGCGCAAGCCUGAUGCAGCCAUGCCGCGUGUAUGGAGAAGGCCUUCGGGUUGUAAAGUACUUUCAGCGGGGAGGCGGUACCCGCAGAAGAAGCACCGGGUAACUCCGUGCCAGCAACCGCGGUAAUUC
rnacentral:rRNA from 1 species